CAAAAACAUGUCCUUUUGUUUAUUAAUUUAAGGUUUGACCUGCCCAAUGAGGAAUUCAAUGGCCGCAGUAUUUUAACUGUGCUAAGGUAGCAUAAUCAUUUGUCUUUUAAUUGAGGGCUGGAAUGAAGGGUUGGACGAGGCAUUAGCUUUCUUUGAUUUAAUUUAGGAAUUUAAUUUUUGAGUUAAAAAGCUUAAAUUUAUUUAUGGGACGAGAAGACCCUAUAGAUCUUUAUGGUUUUAUGUUUUAAUAAUUUAGGGAUUUAUAUAUUUUAAGCAGAUGAAUUAUUUUGUUGGGGUGACUGUAGAAUUUAAAUAACUUCUAUUUUUUAUUUUCAUUAAUUAAUGUUUUUUUGAUCCAUAAUUUAUGAUUAGAAGAAUAAGUUACCUUAGGGAUAACAGCGUAAUUUCCUCGGAGAGUUCAUAUUGAUGAGGGAGUUUGCGACCUCGAUGUUGGAUUAAAAUAAGUUGUGGAUGCAGGAGUCUAUUUACUAGGUCUGUUCGACCUUUGAAUUUUUACAUGAUCUGAGUUCAAACCGGA
rnacentral:rRNA from 1 species